CCCUUAGAUGUCCUGGGCCGCACGCGCGCUACACUGAUGCAUUCAACGAGUUUUACCUUGGCCGAGAGGCCUGGGCAAUCUUUUAAACCUGCAUCGUGAUAGGGAUAGAUUAUUGCAAUUAUUAAUCUUGAACGAGGAAUUCCUAGUAAACGCAGAUCAUCAAUCUGCAUUGAUUACGUCCCUGCCCUUUGUACACACCGCCCGUCGCUCCUACCGAUUGAGUGGUCCGGUGAGGCUUUGGGAUCUGAGCGGAAAGAGCGUUUCGCUGUUUCUGCUCGGAAAACUCAGUCGAACCUUAUCAUUUAGAGGAAGGAGAAGUCGUAACA
rnacentral:rRNA from 1 species